GGAGUAUUCCACCUAGUAUUUGCAAGUUACCCAAUUUGGAGAACUUUACCUUUUCUUAUAACUUCUUCACUGGAGAGCCGCCGGUGUGCUUGAGCCUCAGAGACUUCGAUGACAGGAAGAAUUGCUUGCCUGCGAGGCCGUCACAAAGGUCUCCAGCCCAAUGCAGGGCAUUUAAGCCUGUGGAUUGUAGUGUGUUCAGAUGUAAGCCUUUUGUUCCUUCUUUGCCUGCUCCUCCUCCACCUUCCCCACCACCACCAGUUGUUAUUCCUCUAUCACCACCUCCGCCACCGCCACCGGU
rnacentral:misc_RNA from 1 species